UUCAGAUUGUAGGCUGCAACUCGCCUACAUGAAGUCGGAAUUGCUAGUAAUCGCGGAUCAGCAUGCCGCGGUGAAUACGUUCCCGGGCCUUGUACACACCGCCCGUCACACCAUGAGAGUUGGCAACACCCGAAGUCGGUAGUCUAACCGCAAGGAGGACGCCGCCGAAGGUGGGGUUGAUGAUUAGGGUUAAGUCGUAACAAGGUAGC
rnacentral:rRNA from 1 species